GUGCUCACUUUGGCAGCACAUGGACUGAAAUUGGAAUGAUGUGUUGCAGAUUAGCAUGGCUGUUGCAUAAGAAUGGUAUGCAAAUUUGUGAAGUCUUCCAUAUUUCA